rnacentral:lncRNA from 1 species
UUCAACCCAUCAUCCACAAAAUCACCAACCCGUUUCACCUUCAUCUCCUUGGGCUUAACAGGGUACUUUCCAGAGAAGCAAGCAAAACAAAAAUUCCGAGAAUCAUCGCCUAACAACUAGUUCAAGCUGUCAAUCGGCAGAAAAGCAAGCGAAUCACACCCAAUAAACUCCCUGAUUUCCUCAACGCUCAUCCUGUUGGAAAUAAACUCCUCAGUACUUGUCUACUCCGUAGUAACAAGAAGCUAUGAUUGGUGGGCUUGCAAUUCUCAUGUGAACCUCUUUAGCUCCAGCCUCCUUAAGCAACCUAACAAUUUUUGAUGAAGUUGUUUCUCACACUAUCGAAUCAUCCACAACCACAACUCUCUUUCCCUCCAACCACAACCUUACAGGAGAGAGCUUAAGCUUGACACCAAAGUCCCUAAUUUUCUGGGAAGGCUCAAUGAAAGUUCUCCCAACAUAAUGUGACCUUAUCAACCCUUGUUGAAAUGGCACCCCGGCUUUCGCAGCGUACUCAAGUGCAGCCACCACUCCAGAAUCUGGUACUGCAAUCACAACAUCACACUCAACAGGAGCCUGGGUAGCAAGUACUUCCCCAAAAUGAUACCUCGAUUCAUAAACAGACCUUCCAAAAACAACAGAAUUAGGCAAAGCAAAAUAAAUAUGCUCAAAGAUGCACUGCUUAGGUUCAGGGUGAGGCAUCAAACAAGGUGAUUGAACCCCAUCUUCAUCCACCAUCAAAACUUCACCGGGAUAUACCUCUCUCUCUCUCUCUCUCUCGUAUGUGGCCUCAAUCAAAUAGUGCACAAGUCUCUGACGCAAAAACCAGAGCACCAUUACUCCUCCUACCCAUCACCAAUGGCAUAAACCCAUACGGGUCACGAACCGCAACAAGCUUAUCCUCAGUAACAAACACCAUUGAAUAAGCACCCUCAAGCUUCUCACAAACAUCCAAAAUCCUCAAAAAGAACGGCCUAGCUUUCGAUAUCGGAAUCAAAUGGAGAACAACCACAGUAUCAGAACUAGUAUUGAAAAUGGAUCCAUUAUCUUCAAGCUUAGCCCUCAAAGUAUUAUAAUUAACUAAUGUGCAACACCAACAGAACCAAACCUGUACCCAGCAACAAAAGGCUGCACAUUCUUAAGCAUAGAACUACCCGCUCAAAGAAAAAACAGAGGAGGUGUGUGGAGGGAGACAGUGGCGAAGGGUACUUUAAGUAGAGGGGAACUUGUUCUAGGUUUUUUUCUGGAAUUGUGAGGAAAUCUGAUCCUGUGUUCAUGCAUAUGAUUCAAUUACUUAUAGGUGAUAUUGUUGUGUCACCACAAAAUCUAAUUGGGAAGCUUCAGCUGUCAAUUCUUUUCUGAAAGAAAUUGAGAGAAAAUAUUGUUUGGUUGCUGAGAAAAUAUCUCAGAAAAUUCUCUAACAGCCCCCCUCAAACUCAAAGGACAAGAGUGAACAUUGAGUUUGGCCCUCAAGUAAUUAAACUGUAUGAAGGAAAGAGGUUUAGUCAUUAUGUCUGCAACUUGAUCUGCACUUGCUAUAUAUUGAAUGCUGAGCUCCUUAUUAAGAACCUUGUUGCGAAUAAAGUGUAUGUCAAUCUCAAUGUGUUUUGUUCUGGAAUGGUAAACUGGGUUCUUGGCCAAUUCAGCUGUACUAAUGUUAUCACACCAAAUAAUAGGUUUAGCUGUGCAGCAUACUCCAACUUCAGCAAACAAGGACUACAACCAAGUUAAUUCUGCACUAGCUGAUGCUAAUGCCCUGUACUCACUCUCGGCACUUGACCUAGCUAUUACUCCUUGCUUUUUAGAAGACCAUGAUAUAAGAUUAUUACCCAGGUAGAUACAAUAUGCACUCACUGAUUUCCUGUCAUCUAAAUCACAUGCCCAAUCAGCAUCUGUAAAUCCAGUAAGCUCCAUAUUGCCUUCUUUGAUGAACUUUAAACCAUAGUCCUGAGUGGCCUUUAGAUAUCUUAAAACCCUUUUACAUGCCAUGAGAUGCUGUAGUGUAGGAGCAGAUACAUACUGACUGAGUUUGUUAACUGCAAAAGCAAUCUCAGGUCUUGUCAAAACCAGAUACUGCAUGCUUCCAACAAUGCUUCUAUCUGCUGUACCGUACAUCCGCCUUGGCCGUACAGCAGGAACUGAACACGCUGAACAAAGCAUUUUUUUUUUUUUUGGAUUUUUGGAAUUUUCCAAGAUAUCAUCCACAUAUAUCAACACAAGAAUCAUGGAAGUAUGACUCCUUUUCAAAAACAGAGAUGUAUCAGAAGUAGUAUUAGUGAAUCCCCACUGCAGCAAGCAACUCUUAAGUUUAUCAUACCAAGCUCGAGGAGCUUGUUUAAGUCCAUAAAGAUACUUGUGCAAUUUACACACAUAACCAGGCUUUGUGUUGUCAAUAAAACCUGUUGGCUGAGACAUAUAAACUUCUUCUGUCAAAUCCCCAUUGAGAAAUGCAUUAUUGACAUCAACUUGUCUAAUUUUCCAUUUGUUCAUCACUGCUAAGCUUAAUACCACUCUGAUAGUUGCUGGUUUAAUAACUGGACUAAAAGUUUCAAAGUAGUUUACCCCUGCAAUUUGUUGAAAACCUUUGGCAACAAGCCUAGCUUUGUAUUUGGCUACACUCCCAUCAGUGUUGUAUUUAAUCCUAUACACCCACUUAUUAUCCACAAUCUGUUGAUCAGUCUCUUUAGGAACCAGAGACCAAGUAUUAUUGUGAACUAAGGCAUCAUACUCAUCUUGCAUAGCCUUCACCCAUCUGGAAUCACUCAAAGCUUCUUGCACUGAAUCUGUUUCUUUGUGAGUGAGAAUGGCUGCAUACACUUUUGGUUUAAAAAUGCCAGAUUUGCUUCUGGUGGUCAUAGGAUGAAUGUUGGAUUGUAUUUGAGGUAAGUCAACAGUAGGAGUUAAUGAUGUUGUAUUAUCAGAAGCAGAGGCAGAUAAGAAAUGUUGUGUAUUAACAGGUAGAUGAGUUUGAGAACUUACUUGCUGUGAAUUUUGAUCAUUUGUUGGUUGUGCAGGAUUUUCUAAGUGAGUUGAGUUGCUGCUGUCAGGGUUUGCAGAUAAGGAAUAACCAGUGCUAUUUUCAGUAAAUGAUUGAACAACAGGCAAAGUGGAAAGAUGAUAUAUUUGCUGAGGAGAAAAGGAAGUAGAAGAAAGAGGUGAUGAUGAUGACUCAGUGAAACAAUGAAAGCUAGAAUCAGUAGAGUAAGGAAAAGUGAGUUCAUCAAAUGUGACAUGUCUUGCUAUGUAAAGAUGACCUGAAGGAUGUAAGCACUUGUAACCUUUGUGUGAUGAACUAUAUCCUAGAAAGAUACAUUUGCUGGAAUGAUAGUCAAAUUUGUGUUGGUUAUAAUCCCUCAAGUAAGGAUAGAAUGCACAACCAAAACACUUAAGCAUAUCAUAGUUGGGUUGGUGUUUGAAAAGUUUCUCAUAGGGAGACAAAAGUUUGAGAACAACAGAAGGCAAUCUAUUUAUGAUGUACACAGCUGUAUGAAAUGCUUCCCACCAAAAUUUAAAAGGUAAUUUAGAUUGAGCUAGCAGUGUAAGUCCCAUUUCAACAAUAUGCCUAUGUUUUCUUUCAACCAAUCCAUUUUGAUGAUGAGUGUAUGGGCAUGAGUGUCUAAAAAUGAUACCACACUGAUUUAAGAACUCAGUGAAAGGUCUGUACUCACCCCCCCCAAUCAGAUUGUAACUGCUUAAUGGUGGUUUGAAACUGAUUUUCAACCUGUGUUUUGAAAAGCUUAAAGACACUUAGAGCUUCAGACUUAAACUUUAGAGGGUAGAUCCAGGUAAACCUGCUAAAAUCAUCCACAAAACUGAUAUAAUAGUGAUAUCCAUCUCUAGUGUAGACAGGUGAAGGACCCCAGAGAUCUGUAUGUAUCAGUUCUAAAAACUUAGUUGUUUUGGUUGUGGAUGAAGGGAAAUGAAGCUUAUGGCCUUUGCCCAUUUGACAAGCUUCACAGAUGUAUUGCAGUGCUUGUGUUAUUUGAUUAUCAGAAAAAUUUGCAGACUUGAUGUUUUUGAGAACAUGCUUUAAGAUAUAUUGAUUGGGAUGACCAAAUCUAUUAUGAAACAAAGCAAUCUUAUUCACUGAUGUUGUACAAGAUAAUGCAGUAGAUGAAUAACAAGAUUUUGAAUUAAAAUGAAAACAUGACAGCAUUGACAUUGGCUUAUUUGAACUGAUCUGAGAUAGAAAAGAUGAUUUAGAGAAUGAGUAUGGUUUGAAUAACAGCCUGUAUAAUCCUCUUUCAGCAAUACCCUGCAGCAGAACUUCCCCCUUCAGAGCAUCCUUCACAUAACAUAUAUUUCCAAGAAAUUCAACAGACAAAUGGUUAUCAGAUGUGAGUUUAGAAAUACUCAAUAAAUUUUUGGUAAUUGAAGGGACAAGAAGAAUAUCUUUCAGUACUAUGUGUGGGUAUUUGUGUUGAGCAAAUGAAGUUUUAAAAAAAAAUUUUGCAUCACCAACAUGAGUUAUGGGCAAACCUUGUCCAUUUCCAAUGAUAAGCUGAUCAGAACCAUUGAAUUCCUCUCUGACCUGCAUAUUAGCCAUGUUGUUGGUUAAGUGAUGAGUUGCUCCACUAUCAAGAUACCACCCUUCAUCAGCAGGCCCUUCAAAAUUUCCAAGAUAAGCAGCUCCAGUAGCUCCAGGUGCAGAAGACAUUUCAGAUGAACAAUGAGGCAUAGAAGAAUAUGUCACUGGAUCCAGAUUGUAAGACUGAUAAUUUGAGCAGUUCAUAGCAUAAGGAUCAUCAAAAUAUGGUGCAAACUCAGCAUGUGAGUCACAUGUAGUCAUAUAAGCUGACUUAGGUCCUCUUCCUCUGCCAAAAUGCCUUGACUGUGGCACAUAAUUCUCAAUAUAUCUAUGCCAACAAGCAUCAGCUGUGUGCCCUGACUUAUGACAUAUCUGACAAACAGGAAUGUUAUCAUCUGAUUCAGCUCCAGCUGACACAAAACCUUGACCAUGAAGCUUAGGAUGUGAUAAGACUUUGUGAAACUGCAUUGGCAUAGAGUUGCCUCUUCCAAAAUUAUGACCAAUGUUAUUAAAGCCUCUAGGAUAUGUAUUAAACAUCAUUCCUCUUCCAGCAUUUCUGUUUCCAUUAUGAAUUUGUCCACGAUAUCCUCCAUAACCAAAACCUCAUCUUCUAUUAUUCCCUCUGACUUGAGAAUAAUUGGAAUUCAUCACUCCAUAGUUAGCAUUGAACAUGACUUUAGUAUUCUGAGUGGUCUGACUUUGUUCUAAUCGUGCCUCAUGUGUUAACAGUAAGGCAUAAGCAUCAUCAUAAGACAUCUUAUUAGCUGUGAUAAUAGAUGCAAGAUCUAGAUAACCAGUCCCUAAUCCAUUUAGAACUUGCAUUAACAGAUCCCUUUCUGACAUAGGACUACCAGCACAGGCAAGUUUAUCAGCUAAUAUUUUGACUUUUAAGCAAUAUUCUUCAACAGACAUGGAUUCCUUUCCAAGUACAUUCAAUUCAUAACGAAGUUGCAUUAUUUUAGCUUCAGACUGAGCUCCAAAUUGUUUCUCAAUAGAUCUCCAAGCAUCUCGUGAAUUGUCACAAUUAAGAAUAGAACUGAGAAUAUCUUCAUUAACUGAUGAUAACAGCCAGCCAAGUAGUAUUUGAUCCUGAGCUCUCCAAUUUAUGUAUGCUGGAUUAUCUACUUUCUGCACUGAUCCAUCAACUGUUGUUUGAAUGAUAUGUUGCUCUGGUAUGAUCUGAUUUUCAGAUAUGAAAUCUUCAAGCCGAUUUCCUCUGAUUGAUGUAAGAACUUGUUUUCUCCAGAUUAGGAAAUUAGAUCGAUCUAGUUUUAUUGGAUUACUAAAUGAGAAUGAGAUCUGUGAAGUUUGAUUUGCAUUUGUUGAAUUUGAAAGUGUUGUUAUGUUGCUGGAACUAGCCAUAUUGGCUCUGAUACCAUGAAAGAAAUUGAGAGAAAAUAUUGUUUGGUUGCUGAGAAAAUAUCUCAGAAAAUUUCCAGAGAACUUUCGGAUUUCUUGUAUUUAUUUUUCUUAGAAAGAAAUGUUAUGAUUACAACUUAUUUAUACUUAAAGCUCAAGGAGUACUAAAGCUAAUGACUAACUAAUUCAGUAGGAUCUACACAUGCAUAACCACAGCUCGAUAUACAGAGUAAUCACACCAGACUGUUAACUACUUAAGCUGAGGUGGCAGCUGAGCUGUCAUUCUGCUUACAUUCAUCUGACGUCACCAGCUUGCUGGUUUUCCUUAGCUUGUGCAGCUUCCUCUUUUCUGCACAAUGAGCAUCUCUAACAUUUUCCAAGGGUUAAUUAGGUAGAACUUUCAUGUCGUCGAAUUUAUUUGGAGAUACUUUAGAUUUUUUUUCCUUGUGGGACAUGAAAAUUGAUGCAUGUUCCAAUGCAUUGCUCCUACCAUAUUUGGAAUUAAACUUAGUUUGUGUUCUCCUAUUCCGAAAGCAAAACUUAUACUUACUGUAUAAGUGAUAUUCUAAUAAGUAGAAAUUAAGAACCAUAACAAACUUGAUGAUUCUAAUUUGCUAGAAAUAUUGCAAUCCAAAACUAAGAAAGUUCAAACCAAUUAUUAGAAGAAAAAAGUAGGACGGAAGCUCCCAUAAUAUUGUUAUGUGUUGUAUGUUUUCAGUUUGUAUUUCCCAAUCAAUAAGGAAAAGUAAGUACACAUGUUACAAAAAUUUAAUAAAAAAGAUUGGAGGUGACAAAACCUUCAAUCUUCUAAUUAACUUUCUCUGCAUUGGAAUUUCCUUAGUUUGGUAGAGAUUGCUUAAUUGGUGUAUCUAUUAUAAACACUGUAAGUCAAAGUUACUGUUUUAAUUGUUAAGAAAAGUUAGAAGAAGAAAUUUUUGCAUAAGAGAAUUGGGUUUAAAUUGAGAAUUCUUUAGGAGGAAAUGAGUCUAAAUUCUAACACGAUAAUUUAGCACUAUAUAUAUAUCAUUAAUUGGGUGAAAAAUUAGGGUACCCGUAUGCCUAUGUUGUAACAGUUGUAAGGUACCACUAAUUUUUGUCUUUUGUGAUGUCAAAUUUCAUUUAAUCUCUUUUUUUUAUUUAUAGUUUAUUUAUAACGUUACGUGUUUUGGCAUGUGACUUUUAAAAUAUAAUUUUAUUUUAUUUAAAAUUAUUUAUUUUUUUAUAAUUUAUUUAUAAGUUUAUGUGGUUUGGCUGAUGAUCUAUUCAAAUGUAAUUUUAUUUCAUUUAAUAUUAUUUAACUUCUAAAAGAACAAAUAUAACAAUAAGCCUUUAACUAGAUAAUAUUAACUAAUAUUUUUAAUAAAAUAAAAUAUUAAAAAUAUAUUCUUUUAAAUAAAAUAAAUAAUAUUAAAAAAUAAUAUUUAUUUUUUAGGACUCACAAUUGCUUAUUCUAUUUUAUUUAAUAUUAUUUAAUUUUGAAAAAUAAAUAUAAUAAUAAGCUAUGACUAAAUAAUAUUAAAUAAAAUAAAAUAAAUAUUAUUAAAAAUAAUAUUGAUUUUUUGAGACUCAUUACUGAUUAUUUCAUUUUAUUUAAAAUUAUUUAGUUUCAUGAAAGAAUAAAUAUAAUAAUAAGUCUAUGACUAUAUAACGUUAAAUAAAAUCAUAUAAAUAAUAUUAAAAAAUAUUCUGCUGUACGGCCAAGGCGGAUGUACGGUACAGCAGUUUUUUUUUCCUGCAAUCGCCGAAUNNNNNNNNNNNNNNNNNNNNNNNNNNNNNNNNNNNNNNNNNNNNNNNNNNNNNNNNNNNNNNNNNNNNNNNNNNNNNNNNNNNNNNNNNNNNNNNNNNNNNNNNNNNNNNNNNNNNNNNNNNNNNNNNNNNNNNNNNNNNNNNNNNACCGUACAUCCGCCUUGGCCGUACAGCAGAUAUUAAGUACAACAAUAAGUUUAUGUACGGUACAGCAGAAAUGAAAUGAGAAUAAAUAAUAUUAAAUAAUAUUUUUAAUAAAUAAAUGAUAUUAAAAAUUAAUUUUUUAAAUAAAAUAUAUAAUAUUAAAAUAAAAUUUAUUUUUUAAGACUCACUACUAAUUAAUCAACAUAAAAUUUUAAACAAUUUGGACUUAUGUGAUAAAAGUUUUAAUUCUUUAGCUCUUUUGCGUUUUUGAUAAAAAGCAGGGAGCAUAAUGUUAAUAUUCAAAUAAACAAAUCUCUACCCUUCAAUCUAUCUUUUCAUUAAAUCCAAUGAUCAAGAAUUGAAAUCAUAAAAAAUAAAAUUAGGUGGUACCUUGCAACUGUUGCAAGGUAGUUAAGUCCGAAAAAUUAAUUUCCCUCCUUUGAUGUGAUUUUGAUCGUUUAUUUUUAUAUGAUGGUAAUUUCUUGUUUAGAGUGAAGCUAAGGGUGGGUAAGGUUCGGUUCGGAUCGAAAUUAAGUAGAACCGAUUUAAAUCUGUUAUUUUAUAAAAAGAACCGAAUAAGAACUGAAUUCAAUAAGAACCGAACUCAAACGAAUCUUGUUAAAUCGGUUCGGUUCGGUUUUUUCGGUUUUGGGCCUAUUAGGCCUAUUUUGAAUUUCUAAAUUUUUAGCUCAUUUGGCCUCAUGAAUGUCAUAAUUGUUUUCAACAAUUAAUUCAUCCUAAUUUCAUUACAAAUAUUAACAAUAAAUACAAAGUAUUCAAAACACAUUUUAUCACUAAUAUCUUACUAACUACUAAUUAGAUACUGACUACUCACAAAAUAUGAAAUAUUAAGAUUUCAAAAUACAUAACCAAACUCUAAUACUCCAUCUACAUAAACAUAAUGUUGUAAAGACAAAUAAAAAUAACAACAGUGAUUUUGUUCUUCGGUUCGGUUCUUCGGUUCAGUUGAGUGAAUCGAAUACCGAACCAGUAUUUCGUUUUUUUAUAAAUAAUAUAUUUCAGUUUUUUUUUAAAUUAAAACCGAACCAAAUUAGAACCGAAUUGUCGGUUUGGUUCGUUUUUUUAAGAAUACAGUUUUUUUGUCCAGUCCUAAGUGAAGCUAUUGGCACCAUUUCGCUAUAUUUAUAAAAUUCUACUUCAACUAAAAUUACACUUAAAGACAAUAGAAUUAAACAAACAUGUUUUUUUUUUCCAAACAAAUUACUUACAUUCAUAAUUAUUUUUCUUCUAAUUUUCUUCAUGUUGCUUCGUAUCUAAGUAAAAUAAAUUGUAUAAAUUUAGAAUAAUCUAUUAUUCUUUUUAAAUUUCUUAUUGAUUAAAUACUUUUGUGCUUAAGAUUGCUUUAAAAUUAUAAGAUAAAAUAUGUGUAAUUUAAGCCAAUGAUUAACAUUCAAAAUUUUAUCUCUCAGAAACGUUUUUAAUUUGUGUACAGGGUAACAAUAAAAUCGUAAAAGAAAUAAAAAAUAGCAUAACACUACUUUGAGUUUAGAAAACAAGGUUUCAUGAGGGGUGCAAUAGUUCAACUCUUUUGUGUAAAGUUUUAAGAUGAUGGUAUCCGUAGCUUAGUUUUUCCCUAAUUAUUAUAUUAAAAUGUAAUAACAAUGCUGAUCACGCCAAUCUCAUGGAGGUCAAAGAUUUUGGUCAUGCCGCAUGAAUUAGUGCUUUUGGUUGGCAAAUACUUGUAUAAAUUUAUUUACAUUAAAUAAUUUGACCAAGACUACGUAAGGCGCCGCCUGGAGACUGGAGUCAUCGUAUUUUAUACGUCAAAAGCGCGUUUCAGUUCAAUAAGCCAUAAAUGUCGUUUAAUAUGCUCAUUUUGUACUUUUUUUUAAUAAAAAAAUUAUUUAUUUUUUAAAAAUAUUGUUUAUUUUUUUUUAAAGGUAAAGAGGUGGGUAAAAUCUAAAUUCAAUUUUUAUCCCUAAGAUUUGAACUCAGGUGAAUAGCCAAAUGUAUAAUAACAUGUAUUUCGAAUUUAAUUUUAAAUGAUAUGCAAUUCGUUAAGUGAUUGUUAAUUUUUUAUAAGAUCAAAAUGAAUUAAUUGUAUUAUCUCAUUAACUAAUUGAUAAGUGCCCUAUUAUUUGGGAUAACUUUUGAAUAAAAAAAUUGUGAUGGAUGAAAUAUUCUUUUGAGAAUUUAUUGACUUAUCUCAUUUAUGACUUAUUGUUGCAUUUAAGUGAUUUUGCAAAUAAUAUUAUUGUUUUGACAAGUAAGUUUGGAGUAAAUAAUACAUAUGGCAAGUGUUAGGUUUGUUAUUGCAUAUAUUUUGUGGAUCCAUUUUAAAGCCAAAAAAAAGGCAUUUCUAUUCAUUAUGAUCCCAGAUAAUUUCAAGCCAUAUGUCAUUAUUGGGAUAAAAAUAAAGUAAAAUGGUUAAAACUAUUUUUAUGUAAUUUAUAAAAAUUAAUGAAGCAACUACAAAAAUUUUUAACCGAAAAACAAUUGAAAUGUGUGUGGAAAAAGAAGAAAAAAAUAAGGCAUUUAAAUAUCUUCUUAAAAAAUACGAUUGAGUAAAAUCAUUUUAACAGAAUGCUCUUCCAAAUACAAUUCCACAUUUUUUUUUAUUGCAGUGGGAUAUUCCAAAAUUGGCACAACUCAUUAAGAAUUCGGCAACUCAAAUUUUAUUUAUCACUCUAUGCAUUUGAGAAAUUAAAAAGAAAAAAAAUUCAUAUAUCUUCUGUUCAAAAGAAACCUUGGUAAAUAUUGUAAAACAAAUUACCAAUUUUUUUAAUUUAUGCCAUUAUAUCGUCGCUAUUUUCUCGCCCACUUUCUUAAAAUAGAAUCAAUAUUCAUUGAUGGGUUGGGUUCCAGAGUAAGCACCAAUUCAGUAAAAUGGUUUUAUAGCAGAAAAAGCACUUGUAAGACAUUCAGGACACAUUUUUCAAUUUUGUCUUUUGAAAAUGAGUCUUGAGUUUCCGCAAGCCAAGAAGAAUGGCUAAAAAAUGUAUGGUAUCAAAGAAAGAGAAACACACACACAUAGAAACACACACACACACAGAGAUUAGUGGGGAGAUAUAUAUAUAUAUGUGUGUAAUUUGUAUAUAUAUCCCCAUUAAUUGUUGAUAGUCCAACGGGUGAGUAUAUGCAAAAGGAAAAAAUUGGCUGUCCUUUAAGACAAGAUUGACUGUCACAUGAAAAUGUUAGCACACUUGCCACGCAACAAAAAUAAAGAUUCCAAGAACAACUUUAUGGUCCCCUUUCUAAUGACGGGAUUAGUAGUAGCUGCAAAUUCAUAAAUUUCAUUUAUGAGUUUAUAAAAUCUCACUUCACAAAAUCCAAAAAUAACCAAUACUAUCACACCAAAAGUAAAAAUUAUUGCUGUCACGACAUUACACACUUUCUUUGCUAUCUAGAAAGCUAUAACAUUUGGAAGUUCUUCAAUACAAAAUGCAUACUACUACUAAAUUGGCCCAAUUAGUGCCCAUCGAAAAGGCCAUCAAUUUAGCCACCAAAUUUGCCAAAGUUUUAACAAUUGAAGAAACAAUGAACGCAAAAGGAAUAGGUAAAUUUUAAAGUUGAACAAACCUUGAAAUACAUACAACAAAACCUUGAAACUUUAGUCUUCACAAUUUAAGCACGCAAUAAUAUUAAGUAUCCACCUGGAAAACAAGUAUAGAACAAAGCUUGUUAGCUUCUUGGGCAUUAACUAUGAAUGAUGAGUAAAAUUAAAAAAGCAAACAGAGAAAAUUAUGACAAGAAGAAAAGCAAACAUUUAAAAAAAAAAUACUAGUAGGAAAAUUUUGGUAAAACUCCAUGGCUUAUCUGCAAAAUUAAUGUUAAUGUGUAUUUUUAUGCAAACAGGGUCUCUUGAUUUGAGGAUGAAUCAAUCCGCUAUCACAAACGAAAACAUGAACCAACCAUAUAUAGAGUCAAUUAAUUAAAGUUCUCAAGAGCUUACCUCUGCUCUAGAAUUCUCGGAAUCAUCUAACUCCUUCUGAAUUUGCACGAAACUUUGGACAAUCAUGAACUUCUUUAUAGAAUCCAGAUGGAAAUGGGAUCUGAUAACCUGCAGGCCAAAAGUUGGUGAGGUUUGGUAAAUCUCUCAGUGUCAAGUCCCGAAGUUCAUUCAUAACAAUUUCAUAGUAAUCCGUGACAUCUGCUCCACCUUUAUGCCAAAAUACUUCUUUUAUUUCAUCAUUAGCUUCUAUGGAUAUGUACUUCAGUUUUUGAAGACUUGGAGCUAUGCUGAUAUGAAAUAGAUGCCUUAGUUUGUGGCAAUAACGGACAUAGAUCGAUUUGAGUUUUGGGAAACAUACAGGUUGGAGAUUAUUCUCAUCCUCAUCCUCAUCAAUGAUUUGCUCUAAUUCCCAGCAACGCCAAAUACGUAACACCUCCAAUUGCAACAGAUUUCGAGCAAGUGUUGAUGAGAGGAGACAUCUCAGCGUAGAGCACCCGUUCACGAUUAAAUGGGUAAGAUUUUGCAGGCUAAAAUUAUGCGUGGGACCUUCGUGAUAUAAUACUUGCAGUUCUUGAAGAUCUUCCAAUUCCAACAUCUUCAAACAUGGGAAUAAUUUGUUUUCUUGUACCUCAGCGAUAAUAGCUUCCAAUUGAAAUACCACCUGUACUCCAAGUUGGCUAAUACCCAAAUAUUCCAAAUUUUUUAAGCCGUGCUUCAAUAGUGCUAGAAUCGUGUCACUUAAAUGGAAACAAUCGUCCACAUUUAGAACUUUUAAGUUCUGAUACAAACAAAUAGGUUAGUUGAUAUAAUUAAAAUCUAUUAGCAGCUAGGAUUAUCACAUGAUAAGUGAUGAACCCCGCAAAAAAAAAAAAAAACAGAGACAAAAUCCAUGCAAAAAUAUAAUAAUACAUAUGUAAACAAAUAAAAUAAUUAAAAAGUAAUGGAAUUUUUUUUAAAUGAAAUUAGUUAAAAGAGAUCAUGUGAAGUGAUAUAAAGGUGACAUUAGAUUGUUUGAGAAAAAUUAGUAUUCUAUUAAUUUCUAUGGCUUGAUCAACUAAUUAAUUGAAUUUGAGUAAUAUUAUAUACACUUCAGAAGUGUUUACGUCAAUUCUUUCUAAACCAAAAUGAGAUAUAACUUUCAUUUGAAGAAUAAUUUUAGGCCCUAUAAUAAAGAAAUUUCCCUAAGAUAUCUGAGCAUUAUUAUUAUCAUUACCACAUCCACCACCACCAUCAUCAUCUCCAUAGGAUCAAAUAAUUAAUGGCUGGUAUAAAAUUUAUUGCUAAACUAUCAUUUUGACUAAAAAUUGAAGGAAAAGAAGAAACAUGAACCCAAACAAACAUACCUCUUCAAGAUACUGCAAAUUGGCUUCAAGUUCAGUACUGUUGACGGUCAAGUUGGGACAGUGCUCAAGGUAUAACUCCUCCAACGCUGGCCAAAUUGAAAAAUAAUCUUCUGAACAAAAGCUGAUGAGUUCUGGGAGAUCAUCAAGUAUUAAUUUCUCAACAAAGGGAGGGCAAGCAUCGUAUUUCCAUCUCCGACACUUAUUUCCCCUUCAUUGUGAUCAAACUUUGCUUCGACAAUACAUUCUAGUCUUUCGCAUUCCCUUACAUAGAGACGUUUAAGCUGCUCCAAACUUCGAGCUUGUGACAACGUGAAGAUAUAUGUCAAAGUAUUGCAGCUAUGCACAUUCAAUUCUGUAAGAGUUUGGAGGCUGAUAACAUGGAGAGCGGGCGCCUUCCAUAUCCACUUCAGUUCUGGUAAUUGCUGCAUAGAUAACUCCACUAAUCUUGAGAGCACCUCAUGAUUCCCACUCUUUCCAUGCAGCGACUGAGAGGCAUCCACUAUGCAUUCUAAAUUCUCACAAUUGUUGACAAAUAGACGAGUCAACUCAUUUAAGCCCCUUUCAUCUAUGCUUGGCACAAUAUUAUGACAACCUAUUAACCCCCUCAAACGAAGAAAUUCCAGAUUUUGAUACAAUGCUGAAAAAAUAACGAGCGAGGUCGCUUCAGGAGGGUCAUUCUCAAUGAUUAAUCUCCUUGUCUCAUCACCAUCUUCCAUUUCAUCAUCAACUCCUUCACCUUUACGGAUGAUGUAUCUUUGCAAUUUCGGAAAUGUAAAGUCUUUUGGAAGACAUACAACAGAUCUGUCGGCUUGGGAGUUCAACUCAGCAAGCCUAGCAUUACUUUCUUCUGAACUCAUCUCUUCAACCUCCCAAUUUUUUAUCCGACCAUAAAAUUCUUCCAAUUGAGGAAAUUUUUUUAUCGUAAUGGGAGAAACAGAACCGGUAUCAAUAUAUAGAAGUUUCAAUCUACGAAGUUCAUCCGACAAUUCUUCAAGAAUUUCAAUGGGAGACCGCUGGAGAUAAAGAAGUUCAAGUCUCUUCAACUUUCCACGAAAAGACACAUCACUCACAUCACACCGAAUCAACUGCAGAACUCGGAGGUUUUUGGCUAGGAAUCGAAGUGAUUUUAGUGAAAGGACUCCAUUUAUUAUAGUAACAACUUUCAAUGCUGGCAUCCCUUUAAAAAAAUUUUCUGGAACUUGCAAUUUGUAGUCACAUAGAGUGUUGUCCAGUCGCAAAAUAUGAAGGUCAGGGCAUGCAAAACUACUAGGAAGCUCUUCUUCUUUAUUUCCCAUUACAGAGAUUCCUUUGCACUGUUCCAGGCCUUUUUCCACCGCCCGUUCCAGCAAUCUGAUGCCAUUUAUACUAAACAAUCUCUCCUCCUUCUCCUUCUUCUCUGUGCUUAUCCAUAUGGCUACAUCACGAACUACGUCAUGCAUUUUCACAGAUCUGUCAUUACCAGUGUCUAACAGCAGUGAAGCAGCUUUGAGUCCGUCAAUUGUUCCAUGCAGUAGGCUUCUGGUGUUCUCUAUUGACUCAGCUUGAUACCAAGUCAACCCUACUGCAUAUCCAACCAAAUCCUCCAAAUUAAUCUCAUAAUCUUCUGGAAAUAGCGAACACAGCAAGAAGCAUAACUUGGAAUUGUCAUCAUUCAAUUUGUCGUAACUAAAUUUGAGACAACCGUAAACAUCUAAGUUCUCCUCAUCAAUACCUUCUAUUGCAUAGAGUUUUGCAGCCUUUAGGUUAUGUAGAGCUAGGUUCCAUUCAUUAAAUCCUUUUCCUCUUAGUGCACUUCCAACAGCUUCAAUAGCUAAAGGCAGCCCCUUACAUUCUCCAGCAACUUCUUUGGAAACAUCAUUCAAGGUGGAGUCAUUUACAUCAAUGCCGGCAUUCCUUUUUAGUAGAGCCAAUCCUUCUUCUGGCGUUAGUGUACCCAGUGGAAUCUGCGAGUCACAAUGCAUGCGUUCACAAACUGACUGCAGGCGAGUAGUUAGAAGGAUUUUGCAGCGAUUGUCUCUAUCACCAAUGGGAAUACCAAAUUUUUCAUUCAAGUUGAGUUCAUUCCAGACAUCAUCGAGGAUUAUGAGGAUCUCAGUGCUUUUACUCGCAGAAAACAUCGAGCGCAGUUGGUCUGCUCCAUCUUUUUCAUCUUUCUGCUCCAAUUCCCAACCUAAUGAAUUUACCAACUCAUUUUGAACAUUUAUUAUGUUUGGAUGCCGAGAUACAGUGGCUAGCCCCACCUUAUCGAAAAUCUUUUGUUGCCGAAGUUGACUGCCCACAAAUUUUGCCAAGGUCGUCUUUCCUACACCACCGAGGCCAUGCAAUCCCACCUUCUUUGUGCUCUCUUUUUUCAGCGCGUCAAUGAUCAGAUUGUAAGCUGAUUCUGUGGUCUUGUAAGUAGAAGAAAAAUAACUUGGUAAACUUAAUUCUCUUUCUAACGGUGGAGGUUUAGCAAGGGCAGCUGUGUUGAUUUGCCUGUAGUAUUGUAGCAGAUCAAACAACUUCCUAGUCUUCUCUAAUGUUUUUCCGCCCAGACUAUAUCGGCAACACCAAUCAGGACACAAUCCAUGAAGACUACUAUCCUUUUCAUCUAUCUCUUCUUUCAACUUUCGAAUAUCGUCCAAUUCCCUGUCUACAUCCUCCAGCCACUCCGUUACAUUUUGAUCGACUACUAUGUCGGGGCGUUUUUGUCGUUUAUCUUCUAUUGUCUUAUUGAUGACAUCUAGUGCCUUCUUCAACUCAGUUUUUUCAUCCUCAAGUUUUUUCACAAUGCGGUCGAAACAGAAUAGAUAGGAAGCUGGUUCUUUGAUUGCAUUCACCAAACAUUUUCCAAUCGGUUCUAAAAGUGGUUUAAAAAUUUCUUUUAAACAGUCUAUUAAACAGUCUUUUAAACAGCCUAUUAUAAUUCCCAUGCUAUUUAUCUGCAAAUAAAAAAGUUGAUCUCAAUACGCUAUAAGCAAAAGAACGAGGCUUGAUCACAAGAUCGAAUGAGGACGUUUAAUUACCUUUUUCUGUUAUGUGAAUGCACGUUUAUUAACACCAGCUUUGAUCAAUAAGAGCAAAAUGCAAACGCCGGGCUUCAAGAGUUUUAAGUGGCCUUUAGCUGCAGAAUAGAAGAUGACAAAUAAGGUAAAACGUUCCCAGCAAACGUGACAUGUGGUGGACUUAAAAUGAUACCUUAUUUGGGAUGAUAAAGAUUGGGGUAAAUUCUCUUUUAUUCUCAAAAUUUUGAACCUAUUAUCAGUUGUAGUAUUUGUAUUUUUAAAAAUUACCUAAAACAUGCAUGUCAUUACUUUCAUAGCUAUUGAACAUAUCAUUUCAAAUAUAAAAUACUAUAAAUUAAAAAUCAAACAAAUCUAUCAUGCAACAAACGAAAGGUAAUUACUAAUAAUUAGGUUUUAAUGGAAACUAAUAUAAAACAUAGAGGUUUUGAGUAAUUUUUGUGAUUUCUUUUAAUGUUCGAUUUAGAAUUGAAUAAUUUGUAUAAGGAAAAUAGACUGCAAAAUAAGUUUAUAUGCCGAACUUAAAAUAGUUUUAUAUUCGUAAUCAUAUAAUUAUCAAAUUUUUUUAAUAAAAUUUAUUUAAAAAUUGACCAAUUGCGUUUCAUGAGGAAACCAGAGAGCAUAAUGGACUUAUGUUGCGACUUGGGAUUGAAAGGCCAGAAGGUAGGACGAUAGGAAAAUUAGUUUUAUUUUUAAAGUAUGGUCAACUGAAGUGACUUGGAGGUGAUUGCCGUUAAUCAAUUAUCUUUAACUUAAGAAUUAUUACAAAUAAAUGGCAAAAAUAAUUUAAUAAAAAUUAGUGUAAAAGGUUACUUUUGACAGACAGGGUUGGAUUAAACUAAUUACUAGGAUUUAACUGAAUUAGAUUGGAUUGAAUUAAACUUGAUUGCAUUAUAUAGUCUUAUAUUUGCUACAGUACCGGAUUAGACUAUGUUAAAUUAUAUUUAAAUAAUAUUAAAUAGCAUUUAAAUUGAUAUUUGAAUAUAAAUAUCAAUUAUUUAUGAAAUUUUAUAAUCGCAAUUAAAAUAAAUUUAAAAAACAAUUAAUAAGAAAAUUAAAAAUAUUGUAAAUAAGUUAUUGGAUCGUCAUAAUAUGAUAAACAAACAAAAUUAAAUAAAACAAAUUAAAUAUUUUAUUAAUUUUUAUAAAAUAUUUAUAAAAUAUUUUAUAAAAUCAAUUAAUUCAUGGUAUUAUUAAUUUUCAUGAUUAUUUUAAUAUUAUAUUAGUGAUUAUCAAAUCUAAUACAGUCAAAUAAUGCAAUAAAUUAUUAAAUGGUUAAUUUUAUUGAAAAAUUAUUAAAUUACAAGUAAUGAAAAUUUAAUCUCAAGAGUUAGUAGAAGUAAAAGUACCAAUUUAAUUAGAUCAUAGAUAAUACAUAAAAAAAUAAAUUUUAAGUAAAUCAUAAUAAAAAAUAAUUAUUCAAUCAAUUAAUAUUAGGUGUAAAUUAAAAAAAUGACAUAAAUAAAAGUGUCAUAAAUUGACAACUUUUUUCUUUAAUCUUAUCGCAGCUAAACCCAUGUGUAAAUUAGGAUUAUUAAUCUCAUAAUUUUAAGAUUAAACUCAAAUUUAGUCCCCCUUAAUCCAAUUAAACUAAACUUGCCAAAUAUGGGAUAAAUAUUUAAUUCCAAAAUUAGUCCAAUCCCAUGCUUAGGGCCAGUCUAGGAAUGUUGUAGCUUUUAAAAUAAUUGUUAUUAGCUGUGCUGUAGAAAUAAUCAACUGUAAAGAGAAUCAGAUAAGUGUUUGAUAAAUUUUGUUUUCAGAAGUACGUUGAGUUUUGAAAUCAGUUAUGAGCAUUUGGUAAAUUUUACUGUUAAAUUACUGAGAGAAAAUAAAUGACUAAAAUGCACAUUAUGUAGGAUAAAAUUUACUUAUACUAAAAAUAUGUACGUAUAAUAUUUUUAAUUGUGUACUAUAAUAAUUUUUACUAAAAAUAAAAUUUAUAAUAUAUUGAUUUUAUUUUUUAUUUCUUUAUCUGAAAACAAUUGAUAAUUAAAUUUAUAAUAUAGUGAAACAAAUUUAAUAAUAAUUCGACCAACAAAUUUAUAUUGAUGAAUUAUAAUAAAAAUUUAUUAAAACAUUGAUUUUGUUUCCAAUUUGAAUAAGGAUAAUUUAGGGUUUAUAUAAUAAUUUUAAGGAUAUUUAUAGAAUUGUAUUAAAAGAUAAAAUUGAUUUUCAAAAUCAGAAUCUAAAAAUUACUCCUUCUCUACUUUUCAAAAUCAAUUGUGUGAGGAGUUAAUUUUGAAAAAAAAAUGAUUUUAAUUUUUUUCACCAAAUACUAAAAUUAACUUUAAAAUUUUUUAAAUUACUUUUAAGCCUCUAAAAAACAAUCCCAAAUGGGCGCUUAAUCCAAGCAUCCAAAAUCGGUCUAAAAAGUUGCACUAAAAACAAGCUCGUAUAGCCAUUGGAAUUAGGUAAAACAAAAAUAAAAUUAAGAGCCUAUGAAACAAUAAUAUCUCAUACCUUCUUCGUUAUAUAUCCUCAAUCACUGCUGAAAGCUCCAGUUAGAGAGUUGCACAAGUUCGGAGAAAACUAAAAGCUGCAUCUAGCAAUAUAAAUAAACAUGAGAUCAAAACAACAUAGGAUAUAUCUAGCUAAUUAACAUCAUAUAUAACUCCUUGUUCUCAGUCAAAUCUUUCAUUCUUAGGAGAUAAAAAAAAAAUUGAAAUAAUAACUGUAAGUGAAAUAGGAUGCAAAAGUAACAUACCAAAACGAGAGCAGCUAGCUCACAUAUCUGGUGACUUCCAAGAGCAUGAAAAAUGAUUGAGGUUUAAUAGCAAGGUCCGAGUCAUGUUUCAUAAGUUGCUAUUGACUUAGUGGCUUCGCUUUUCUUUGUUUUUUUUUUUUUGUUUAUAUAUAUCUUACCCCCUUUACCAAACACCAUUUUAGUAUUUUCUUUAGCAGUCCCUGUAAUUAUCUGUAAAUAAUAAAAACUAUAAGUUUUAAAAAUUUUAUACUAUAAGCCCCAAUUAAAAUAUAAUAAUUUCAAAAUUCUAAAAAGUUUAUUUGGCAUUUUCUUCAACAAUCCCUAUUGUUUUCUAUAAAUAAUAAAAACUAUAAGUUUUAAUACUUUUAUGUAAUAAACCCAAUUAAAAUAUAAUAAUUUUAAAAUUCUAAAAACUUUAUUCUCUCUAUCUCCUUCUCAAUCAAUUUUAAAUUUAAGUUUCAUUCUUUAUAAUUUUAAAUUUAAGUAAUAGAAUAAAUAUUAUAUAAUUUAUUUUUUUAUAUCAAACAAAUAAUAGAUCGGCUUCAUACGUGGGAUAAAGUAUAAGUAAUUUUACAUAAUACAAAAUAGUAUUAUUAAAAUAUAAUUGGAUUUUUUAGUAAAUGGAAGUGGAGAGUAUUUUACCAAGUUAAAAUAAUCCAUCCAUAUUUUUAAUAUAUAAAUAUGUUGUUUACCAAAUUACUUUUGAUAAUAAAAUAUUAAACGGAUCAAUGUGUCAAAAUUUUGACAUUUAAGUUUUUCUUAUUCUUUUAGUAAAAAUAAAGGACCACAUCGUUAAUAAUCAAAUGAUUACAUCGAAGCCUUUACAACUCUUGGGUUGGAAUAGUCUUUACAACUCUUGGUUUGGAUCCAACGGUUGGAUCACAAAAAGACAAAAAUAUAGGUAUAAAAAAACAAUUGCAUUGUAGCUGAACCCAUAUUCUAUAUUAGUGUGAAUUGAAAGGUGGAAAGUGAAAUGGUGCACUUGCCUUCUCACCUAUGAUGAGGGGGUAAUUUUUAGAAACCUUUCGUGAGGUUUAAGGUCACUCGGAUAGACUAUAUUUCGGUACUACCAAAUACCUCCCUGCCCAUUUGUACUCCGUUUAGCAUCUUUUGGUUGGUUGAGGGUAAUUUGGUAAAACUCGUUUAAAAAUAAAAAAUUUCAAAGAAAUUCUAAAAGAAGCUUUGUAUCUGGGGUAUCUCUGGAGUUGUCGUGGCAAUGAGUUUGAAUCUAAAGAUUUUGAUUCUCUUAUUUUAUUUAUUUCCCCUAGGAAUGAAUUUAAGCCUUAUUUUUAUCAGACUCAUUCUUUUUAAAUAAAGGUAGAUAUCUCCCCACAUAUUUGAGGUAUAUUUUUAAAAUUAAUGUUCAAUAUAUCUGUGGAUUGUAUUAUAUUUAUGUCUAAAAUCUCAACAGAUUUCACAAUAUAUAUAUAUAUAUAUAGUAACGUAAUUGAUGAGGGAUCUGUUAAGUUAUCAAAUUAAGCAGGAUUAGCAAAACGAUAAAAAAAAAAAACACAUUAUGAUUGGAAAUAUGGAACUGGAAUUGUGAUUAUAAUAGGAACUUUAAUUGAAAUUGUAAUUGUAAUUGCAACUGGAAUUGUAAUUGCGAUCGGAUAUGUAAUUAUCAAUGUAAUAGAAGUUGUUCUUGUAAUUGUUACGGCUAUUGCAAUUGUUCUUGUAUAAUUGCAACUGUGUUUUUAAUUUUAAUAACAAUUAAUAAUACAAUUAUAAUUGUGAUCAUAAUUGCCAUUGUAAUUACAAUUGUAUCUUUAAAAAAAUUGUAAAUACAGUUGCUAUUCUAUUUAUUAUUACAAUUACAAUUUUAUUAUCGUUAUUCUUAUUGUAAUUGUUGUUAAAUAUUAUUAAAAUAAAGUACAAUUGUUAUUGUAAUUAUUAUUGUAAUUGGGAUUAAAAUUGUAAUUGUAACAAAGUAAUUGGAAUUACAAUUGAAAUUAAAGUUGUAAUAGUUGUUUAAAUUAAAUUUGGAAUUAAUAAUAAAAAAAUGAAAUUGAAAUUGUUGAUGUAGUUAUUGUAAUUGCAAUUGUAAUUUUAAUUGUAAAAAGUGCAACUGAAAUUAUCAAUCGUAAAUAUAAUUAAAAUUGUAAUUAGAAUUGUUCAACAAACAAUUACCGAAACAUUUGUCCAAGUUAUUUUUUAUUUUUGAAAAAGAAAGAGAAGCAACAGUAACCAAUUUUUUAGAGUAGUAUUAAUGUUGCAUUUAAUUGUUAAUAAUCUGAAUGGGUUGGAAUGUGAAUGAGUUAGAAUGAGAAUGAGCUGGAAUAGAAACGGGGAAUGGAAAUCGGAAUAAGUUGUUUACUUUAGUUGUAGGAAUCAGAAUCGGAAUGGGCUGGAAUUCUAUUGAUGUGUUUAUUUUAUCUGGGAGUAAGAAUCAGAAUAAGUUAAAUUAUUUCAAGUUACCAAAAUGUUGUUAGUUAAUAAUAAUAUAACUAUUAUUAUUAUCAUCGUUGUCGUCGUCGUUAUCAUCAUUAUCAUUAUUAUUAUUUGUGAUUUUUAUUAUUAUAAAAAUGAUUGUUAAUAAUAAUAUUAUUAAAAAUAAUAUCAUUAAUAAUUUUUUAAAAUACCUUUUGUUAAUUAUUGUCAUUUGAUGGUGAUGGUGGUGGUGGUGAUGACGACGACGAUGAUAAAUAAUAAUAAAUAAAUAAACUAAUAAUAGUAAUAAUUAAUAUAUUAAUAACAAUAACGACAACAACAAAUAUAAAUAAUAAAAUAACAACAACAACAACAAUAAUAAUAACAACAAUAACUAAAUUCCAUAAUAAUAAUAAUAAAAUUUCAGUUUUUUUUAAUUUAUAUUUUUUAAUUUCCAAAAAGGAUAUUUUGGGUAUAUUUAAAAUACAGUAGGGAUAAUUUUGUUAUUCUAGGAAAUGAGAUUUCCAUUCCCAACUCCUCUUAAGGAAUCGCAACUCUAGCAAUCAAUCUAAAAUUUAUGAGGGGACAUGAAUAUGAUUAUUUGUUCAAACAAUAUUAUUUUAAUUUAAAAAAACAAAAGAAAUGGGCCUCACAUUAUUAUUUAUUCAAACAAUAUUAUUUUAACACAAAUGACCAAAAUAAAUUUUAUAGUCAAUAAAACUGCUGUACGGCCAAGGCGGAUGUACGGUACAGCAGCUAAGUUAUCAACAUANNNNNNNNNNNNNNNNNNNNNNNNNNNUAUAUAUAUAUAUAUAUAUAUAUUAUAACAUAAAUAUGAAGACAACAUUUGUUGUACAGCAUUAGAACAAUAUUUGUCGUAAGUCUUUCUUUUGCAUUUAAAAUUUCGUAAUAAUUUAAAUAAGACAAAAGAAGUGGGUCUCACAUUAAUUUAUUGUAUAAUUUUUUCAAACAAUAUUAUUUUAAUACAAACGCCCAAAAUAAACUUCAUAUUCACUAAAAAUUAAUCAUAUUUAUUAUAACAAAAAUAUGAAAACAACAUUUGAAAAAAAUACAAAGGCAAUGUACAACACUACAACGAUCUUUGCUGUAGGUCCCUUCUUUUGCAUUUAAAAUUUCGUAAUAACUUAAAUAAGACAAAAGCAGUGGGUUUCACAUACAAUUUAUUAUAUAAUAUUUUCAAACAAUAUUAUUUUAAUACAAAUGACGAAAUACAAAAACACCUUUAAAUUUGUUAUAGAGCACUCGAUCAAUCUUUGUCGUAGGAUUUAAAAUUUCAUAAUAAUUUAUAUAAGACAAAAGAAAUGGACCUUACACAUAAUUUAUUGUAUAAUUUUUUCAAACAAUAUUAUUUUAAAAUUUCAUAAUAAUUUAAAUGAGACAAAAGAAAUGGGUCUCACAUAUAAUUUAAAUGAGACAAUAUUAUUUUAAUAUAUAUGUGUAUAUAUAUAUGUAUGUAUACAUAUUAUAACAUAAAUAUGAAAAUAACAUUUGAAAAAAAUACAAAGACACCUUUAAAUUUGUUGUAGAGCACUCGAUCAAUCUUUGUCGUAGGUCCCUUCUUCUACAUUUAAAAUUUCAUAAUAAUUUAUAUAAGACAAAAGAAAUGGACCUGACACAUAAUUUAUUGUAUAAUUUUUUUUCAAACAAUAUUAUUUUAAAUGAGACAAAAGAAAUGGGUCUCACAUAUAAUUUAUUGUAAAUUUUGUUUUCAAACAAUAUUAUUUUAAUACAGACGACCAAGACAAAUUUCAUAUUCACUAAAAAUUAAUCAUAUUUACAUUAUAACAUAAGCCAAUUCCUAAGUUACGUUUUGUGUAACUUACGGCCUGGCAAAUCUUGAGUGUCAAAUGUGCUUGUAUCCAAUCCAACGGACGACAUCAAAUUUAUCAUAAAGUAGUAACGAAUGAUAACCGGACUGAACUGGUUGUUUCAAUUGAUGGGCUACCUGUCCUUGCCUUUCUCUUAAGAAUCUAAGCAGCGAAGAACUUGAAUUGGAAAUUGGUGAGGAAGGACUGUUCAUCAGAGAUGAGUCUAGAGGCGGCGACCUCCCAAGCGGCGUCGGUCCGUUGAAGCUGAACGAGCCACUAAUUCGCUGCCACACCGGUGCAUAAUUAGUUCUUGUGAUUCAAGACAAGAACAACUUGCUCCACCUGAAUUUGCAAGUCCAUCUGCAUAAAAUGACAAAUUCGGUGGUGGAUUUUGAGGAGGAUGGUCUUGGAGGAGAUGAAACUCCUCUUGCUUAACAUUUGGGCCUUCCUAAUUUUUGUUUCUUCAGACAAAUGCAAACAUUUGUGAUUCAUUUCACUGAGAUCCACUAGAAAGUCCUCAAAUCUCUAAUACUCGCUUCUUUAGGAAGAUCUUUCACUUAACCAAUCACAAAAAAGAUGUCUUUACUUAAAAGUUCAGGAAAAGGCACAAAGGAACAUUAAACAUAACCGACCACAGAAAAAAUCCAAUUUUUAGUUAAAUGGUUAAAAUUCAAUAAAGUUAAGAAAGCAUGUUUCACUCUUUCAGGGAUUGCAUCCCUUGUCAAUCAAUCUUUUCUUCGUCCAUGGUUCAACCUGAAUAUGGCAUUCAACACGUAAAAGCUUCCCUGAAGUUUUGGCAUCAAAUGGAUCAUCUGCUGAACCCACAAGUUGGAGAUUAUCGGAGACAAAAAUAAGCACGCUGCCAGCGGGACUACAGAGCUGGCAAUUGAUGGUGGUGAUGGAGUGUUGGCACUGCAGGAAGGGAUGGCUAGUGAACUCAGCAACGAUAUUUUGCGAGUCUACGCCUCCCUCUCUUUUUUAAUUUCGCAUUUACUGUUUCCGCUGGAGACUCACGUGACCGCGAGAGAGAGAGAGAGAGAGAGAGGAGUCUUCUUAAUUUAAUGUUUAGAAUUUAAUCGUGAAACGACCUCGUUUUUAUUUAUCGCCACGGACUAUAGAAGGUAAUCUUUUACGCUACGUUUGGAAGAUAGAAUUGGAUUGAAUUAGCUUUUAAGAUUAAAUUGGAUUAAAUUAGAGUAGAUUAUAUAAUAUUAUCUUUUGUUCGGUACAAUAUUGGACAAGACUAUGCUAAUUUAAUUUAAUAAAACUAAAUAACUAUUUAAAUAAUAUAAUAUUUUUAAAUUAUAUUGAUAAUUGUUUACUUUAUUAUUUAAUAUCCAAUACUAGUUUAAGUAAAUUAAUGAAUAAAAUUUUGAUAUUCUAUAUAAAAUAAAAUUACAUGCUGAAAAAAUUAUGAAAUUAACUUCUAUGUUUAAUUUUUUUCUAAAUAUUAGGUUAAAUGAAAAAUAAAAUAGUGAAAAAAGGACACAUUCUUCAUUUAAUUUUAUCCCACCUAAAUCCAUAUAAAUAUGAGGACUAAUAAUUCCAAUUUUUUUAACUAAAUUUUAGUCUAUCCUAUUAGUUCAUGACACCUAAACAUACCUUAGGAUUAAACUAUUGGGUCCGGCUACGAUGCAACGGUGAUACGGUAUCACCGUUGCAUUCAGCCGUUGGAUCCACUUGGAUGAAUGGAUCCAGUAGGAUCCAACGGCUGGAUGCAAUGGUGGUACUGUACCACCGUUGCACCAUAGUUUUCUCCUAAACUAUUUUAUUAAUCUUAAAAUAUAAUCCAAUCGCACAAUUUAUAUUAGGGAUGGCAAUGGGGUGGGGUGGGGGUGGGGAGGCCUACCCCAUUCCCCACCCCGUUAGAAAUUUUUACCUCCAUUCCCCACCCCAUUCCCCAAUAAAUUUAGUGGGGUGGGGAUGGAGAAUCCCCAUGUGGGGAAUGAUUUCCCGAUCCCCACCCCAUUCCCCAUUUAUCUAUUUUAUAAUAUGUAUAAAUAUAUUAUUUUAGUAAGUUAAAAAUUAGAGACUUAAAAUAAAAUCAUCAUCAUAUUAUAAAGUAUUUAAAUUCUUUUUAAAAAAUAUCUAAAAGUUUGAAACAAUAUCUUAAAAUGAUAUUAAAAGUGAAAAAUAUUUAAAGAGCGAUUGGGGUGGGGGUGAGGUGUGGAGUACAAAACCAAAUCCCACCCCAUUAAGAAUUUGGGGAUUAUUUUCCCCAUACUUCCCACCCAAUUCCCCAAAAAUUAUUCAAAAUUUUUCCUAUUUGGGGUGGGGCUCCAUGGGACCCCAAACCCGUGGAGAAUUUUGCCAUCCCUUUAUUUAUCCAACCUUCCAAACAUAACCUUAAUUGACUCUUUUACCAUCGAUCUCCAACCGUUUCAACCAAUUACAAUUUCCUUAAUGUUACAUACAUGUGGCAUAUUUUUACUGGUUGACUAAUUAAAUCACGGGCUGUAACAUACAGUAAAACGUAACUUAGGGUGACCCCAUAACAUAAAUAUGAAAACGACAUUUGAAAAGAAAAAUACAAAGGCACCUUUUUAUUUGAUGUACAUUACUAGAACAAUUUUUGACAAAGAUGUUACAACCUAAAGAAUGAAAAGGUCUAAAGUUUUAGGGUGAACAUGGACCAAUUGAUGACACGACAUGUUUUACAGCCCAAUGUCGUUAAUUAAUAUAUAUAAUUGAGUAAUUUCAUCUCUAUAUUAAGCACGCACCGCCUCAAAUUGCAUGCAAAUACAAAAACAAACUUCUGAAUUUUUUUUUGAAUUUUUAGGUUAACAAUUGAUUUUUUAUUUAAAUUUUUUUUGUUUUUAUUUAACAAUUAAUUUUAAUCAAAUCUUAAACUGUCGUAAUCAAUUAAGAUUUUUCAUUAUGACUCCUUAACUAGAUUUUGGAUCUGUAAUAAAUAAAAAAUUGGUAACAUUUGUUUCUUUAAGAUAUAAAAUAACCGUAACAUUGGUUUUUACAUUUUGAAUUUUUCUUGAAUUACUAUUUAAAAAAAUGAUGUUAAAUAAAUCUCACAAAAUAUACAAAGCCAUCUAACAUCCAAAUAUUGAUUACAUUUAUUUUGUAUUGUUGGAAUGACGCCAAAGCAAUUGAAAAGAUAUCAAAAAUAAAUAAUAAUGAUGAAGAUUGGCUACGGGAUUUCACUGAAGCUAAGUUGUGACUUGUGACCAUCUAAAUGUCCGUAACAACUUAUGAUUAUUCUCGCAGCACAAAUCCAAUAGCAUGCAACAAAAUCCACUCUCUAACACUUGCCUCUGAAGAAAAUAAAACAGAGUAAAAAGAGCAACCAUGCCUGUGAAUCUCUUUACUUUUCUCCUUAUAAUUUGGGUAAACUCUAUCAAAUGAAAAUGCAGCAUGACCACAUUGGUCACUGCCACUACCAUUUACUUCUUCAACUGUGCCACUUGCUUCAACAAAUCUUUAACUGAAAGAUGGAUUAUAUAAUUCAAGAUAAAAAAAUACACCUGAGCUGCAAAGGCUACCAUCCACUAGCCUAUCAACGACUAUGCUUUAUAUUUUUCUAGUUUUUGAAUCAAAAUUCUGCAAGAUUUAGUUUGGAAAACUUCGACACAAUAACCAAAAACUCAGUCCUUUUGUGCAUUAUAUCCACCGAAUGAUUCCUUAACAAAACAUCGGUAGCCUGUGGCUUUUCUGACACUGUCCUGACCCAAAGCCCCGCUCUUUUCAACUCAUCUGUCAAACCAUUACCCACUUUUGGAGUCAAAAACUGCCCUUGCAGGCCUUUAAUACUUCUCCAUCUUCAUUGAAUACGUGCCAACCAAAUGCACUCUCUUCCCUCUGGCUGAUUCUGUUUGAUUCAACCUCUUUUCUUGUUUACACUCAUGAAUUUGCCGAAUCUAAAUAACAAGUUUGUCAUCAUCAUAAAAUCCUUCCACAAUCACCGCAUACAUUCUGCUGAGCAGGACUCAUUACACCCUUGUUUUAAACAAUUCUUUCUCCAAUUGGUUAAACAAUUUUUUCUCUUCUCUUUGCUCCCUUAUACAACUUGAGGCAUAUAAUUAAAUGCGUAGCAAUUAGCAUAUGCCAUGAUGUAUUUAACAACCCCAAAUGAAGAUACUGAUUUUUUUUCGGCUUAAUGGCUGCUUCAAAUGGGGGAACUGAAUUUGGGGGUUUGUUGUCUAAAUCCCAAAAAAUUCCACAUUAUGUUGGACAGUUUUUGGUUCUACAGAUGAUGAUCGGUUUUCCGAACGAGGGUUCAAAAGGAAACAUCUAAACAAUGAGACAAAUGGGUUCUGGAUUUCUAAUCCUGUAAACGUUGUUCUGUCGCAUAAGUUAUGAAAUUUCUGAAGCAUCACUAUUCCUGUCGUUCCUGGGAGAAAAAAAGUCGAAGAACUGCUCGUGGAACAAAAUUAAAAAAUUUAAACUAUGUUGAGAGACUUUCCCUUCAACUAACAGUUAAAAGGAAAAAAAAAGUAUUCGAUAAGCAUUUUCAAAGGAAAAUGAUCAUCCCUUUGUUGUACUUAGGCAGGAAAAAUAAAUAUAUCAACCCCAUUAAACCCUCACAUCUGCUAACUAAUAAUGCAUGGACUAACUUUAAAGUAAGGAUAUAAAACUUACAAGAACAAGAAAACUACUGUUUAUUAAUUUCAAAUUUUACACAAAAUUACGAAUAAUUCUAUAAGCUGCACCAAAACAUGUUCUCUAAAAGAGAUUCAGUAUCCCGCAUUUUUGGAAGCAAAAAAAUAUUUCUGGAUAGUAUAAGCUAAUACUAGAAUAACCAUUCGUUAAUGAUGUGAGUUUGGGCAGCACCAUGAAGCGGUGAGCCUCGUUUGGUGAAAACGAAAAAUAAUUAAAAUAAAGCACUAUGAAUUCUGAUCAAAUUAUUAACAUUAGCUAAAUACACAGCAAGAAACCAGAAUAAAUUUGUUAUCUAAACCAAAUACUAAAAAAAAAAAAAAAAAAAAAAGGCAGUUAAAUCCCUAUCAUUUUCAGUUAGAAACAAACUAAAGCACAAAUUAAGAACAAAGGUUGAAGCAAAGCAUGAUUGUACCUUGAGGUACUUGAGCUUAGUGUUCCCAUAAACGAGACCGAGCGAAAUGCCGAAACCAGAGCAACCUAUUAUUAUUACUCAAAAACCCAGAUCACAAAAUAAAUGAUCUUUCAAUAACAAUUCAUAAAAAUUCCGUCCCAUCAUAUAUAGAACGAAACAAAACAAUGAAAAUAUUGAUUAGAAAGGAAAUUACAAAAAUGGACAAAAAGCAGAUAAAAAUAUGAUGCUUUGCUAUGCUUUCCUUUCUUGUGGGUGGCAGAUAAAGAAACAAGAAAGAGCCAGCAAAUUGAAAAAUCGACAAAUAUAUUCAUUCGAUUCCGACUCGUAUGGCUCUUUUUCUUUGAUGAAUGAAAUAUUAUUUCACUCUCUAAUUCGUAACAAAAUUACAAGUUUCGACUUCUGUUUGUAUGUUAUUUCAUACGGGUUCCCAUUCUAGCAUUAAUAACAAAUGGGCCCGACGUGUGGCUAAGCCCGGGCGUGCUGUUGAUGGCCAGGCCUGGGCUUUUACGAGCCCAGGAAGUGUAAUCGUAAUUUUAUUGUGCUGAAAAUUAUAUAAACGUUAAAUACGAAUUUAAUUAAACUAACACAUCUUUACAACUCAUGCAACCUUACUAUUUUCUAAAGAUAUAAUUAAUUUUACUAAUAAAAUCAAAAUAAUUUUUAAACAACGAAGAAAGAAAUUAUAAUAACAAUAAAUUAAUUAUGAAAAAAUAGGUUUACAAUCAAAUACUUUUUCUCAAGACUACAUAAGUGUACUUAAAAAAGAGGCGAGAUUUGUUCUUGCCUAUUAGUUAAUAUAUACAUAUUAAUUCAUCAUUGGCGCCCUUUGACACGAAGCCAUUCAUUAGUGUAGAAGACGAAGGAGAAGAAAAUAUUAAUGUAGAAAACACACAAGUUUAUUCAUAAUGCAGUCCCUCCCAACUCCCAACAUGGGCACAAGCACUGAAGCAAACACACUGACACAACAUAUAUAUUACAGAGAAGAAAAGAAAUUAGUAGCCAGCUAGCAGCACAUUCAACAUACAUAUAUACAGAACUUGAACAUAAUUGACAACAUCUGGAGGGAGAGGGAUAUAUUUCGAUGCUGCAGCCUGCAAUUCAUAGCAUAUCAUCGAUCAUUUAAUUGCUUAUCAAAUGGUGUCCUUGAAUGUUUUGAUCAAGAAAAUGGUGAUGAUGAUCAUUCUGAUGCUGAUCAUUUAAUUUAUAACAUGACGAUAGAGAAUAAAGUGGCUGUCCAAAUUCACACAUUCACCAAACUUUUACCAUGAAAUUAUAUGUUGCAUAUGGCAGCUACCAGGCACAUAAAUCAUCGCCAACCAAAAGCCCACGUUUUGCAUGCAACCACUUGUCGACAACCAUUCACCAGCCACAAAUUACCCAAGUAAGUACUCGUAUCGUCAACACUUACCCUUCACUUCAUCUACGCAAACAAGAAUUCAAAUCGCUUAUUAGCUAGUGCUCGAGCGAAAGCCAAAAUAAAUUAAAUAUCUGUGUGUGUGUGUGUGUGUGUUAAAGAGAAACGGUGGCAAAGUCAUUAUACAAUAAAGCAAACCAAAAUAAAUUCUACACUCAUGUGGGUGUUUCGCUCGCAAAAUCUGGACAAGAAAAAAUAAUAUUGAUACAAUCUCCAAAUAAAGAGCAUUCUUCUUGGUAAAAUAGACAAAGCCUAUAAAUUUUGAUUAAUGGUGCCAAAUGAAAGAGUUGUAAUUUCAUGUACAUUUUGUUAACAUGAAUAAGGGUACAAAAUAGAUAACAAAGUGACAAAAACAAAGCUAAUCACAAUGAAUGAUAAGGUUUAGAGUAAACAAAAAGUUAUAAUCUUGAACAUAAGUGGCGCUCAAAGCCAUGAAUUUGAUAUCAUCCAUGAGGGGAGUUCAAACAACAGCAUGUAAGAAGCAACAAGUGUUGAGAAAAAAAAAAAAAAAUCAUUCUAACACAACAGAAUAAAUUGUAAAGAAAUCCCAGUUUGUAUAAAAGAAAGAAAACAAAAUUAAGGAAAACAUAAGCACAACAAAAUUUGACUGAUUAUUAAAAAUGAGAAAUGAGUUAUGAUGAGAAUUUUGGCUUUGUGGUGAAAUAAAUUGGGAAGUAUCCAAAGUUCGCAUGUAAAUAAUAUAAAUGAUAAGAAGACGAAGGGAACAAAAUGAUAAUAAGCAAGCCAAAUAUUAAAAUGCAGAUUCUACGCUUCCGCCACCCCCCCUGAUGGGUGUCGAAGCCAACAAAAAUAAAUUCCUACUCUAAAUAAAUUGUGUAUAGUGAUUGAGCAGGGUCGUGUCCACAGAGAUCGGUAAUUAUUUAAAUCCUUUUGAAACGUAAAACGUAAAAUGGGGGAAUUGUUGACAAUAAUAAAAAUCAAAUUAAAAAAAUAAAUUAAAUAUCUGUGUGUGUGUGUGUGUGUGUUAAAGAGAAACGGUGGCAAAGUCAUUAUACAAUAAAGCAAACCAAAAUAAAUUCUACACUCAUGUGGGUGUUUCGCUCGCAAAAUCUGGACAAGAAAAAAUAAUAUUGAUACAAUCUCCAAAUAAAGAGCAUUCUUCUUGGUAAAAUAGACAAAGCCUAUAAAUUUUGAUUAAUGGUGCCAAAUGAAAGAGUUGUAAUUUCAUGUACAUUUUGUUAACAUGAAUAAGGGUACAAAAUAGAUAACAAAGUGACAAAAACAAAGCUAAUCACAAUGAAUGAUAAGGUUUAGAGUAAACAAAAAGUUAUAAUCUUGAACAUAAGUGGCGCUCAAAGCCAUGAAUUUGAUAUCAUCCAUGAGGGGAGUUCAAACAACAGCAUGUAAGAAGCAACAAGUGUUGAGAAAAAAAAAAAAAAAUCAUUCUAACACAACAGAAUAAAUUGUAAAGAAAUCCCAGUUUGUAUAAAAGAAAGAAAACAAAAUUAAGGAAAACAUAAGCACAACAAAAUUUGACUGAUUAUUAAAAAUGAGAAAUGAGUUAUGAUGAGAAUUUUGGCUUUGUGGUGAAAUAAAUUGGGAAGUAUCCAAAGUUCGCAUGUAAAUAAUAUAAAUGAUAAGAAGACGAAGGGAACAAAAUGAUAAUAAGCAAGCCAAAUAUUAAAAUGCAGAUUCUACGCUUCCGCCACCCCCCCUGAUGGGUGUCGAAGCCAACAAAAAUAAAUUCCUACUCUAAAUAAAUUGUGUAUAGUGAUUGAGCAGGGUCGUGUCCACAGAGAUCGGUAAUUAUUUAAAUCCUUUUGAAACGUAAAACGUAAAAUGGGGGAAUUGUUGACAAUAAUAAAAAUCAAAUUAAAAUAACAAGAAUGCAAAUUAAAGUUGUAAUUCAAAUUGGAGAAAGCUCUGGUUGAAGGAAUUAACUCAGCUUGAUUCGACUACUGAUCAUUGAUUCAAAUAUAAAUUAUUAUUACUUAUGAAUAGACCGGUUAUAGCUACUGAGACCCUCUAAUAGCCAAUCUCUCCUUAACUAGUCGAUAACCAAGGUACGACCGUUGGAUAUUCCCUAAUCAAUAGACAACCCUAGAUACGAUCAUAGAAUUUAAUCAAUUGACAGCCUGAAAAACCAGAGAGACCAAAAUCCUAAUCAACACAUAUGAUGAUUUAUUUAAAUUAGAUUGUUUAUUCUCACAACACAACUCUCUGCUAUGUCAUUUGUCACAAACAUUAAAUUCUUCAUACGAUGAAUCCUUUAAUUAAUAAUAAAUUAAGUUGAUAAUUAAAUAGUGGCCAAUUUUUUUUUUCUCCAAUCCAAAAUCCCCCCUUUUUCACAAUAGAUUCCUCCCUUAAAUACUCUCUCUCUCUUCUCUUUUAGAAUUCUCUGCUGUACCGUACAUCAAUAAAAUACUAAUAUCUGAAAUAUUAAAUUCGUAAUUACAAAAAUAACCAAAAAUACAAAACACGUUAAACUAAAAAAAACUGCAGGUCCGCAGUUGACAGCACGCGCCCACGCCUUAUCAACAAAGUUCUUCUGACGCUCAGAAAUUUCUCCAAGAGAACAAUCCUCCUUAAACAUCAUCUUUUAGCUCAAUUUUAUCAUCAAUCAAUAGAAUUGCACCUACAAAAGUAAAACACGAGUAAAACAUUAUUAUUAAAUGCAAAACAUCGAUAUUAAGGGAAGUAAAUAAUGCAAAACUAGUGCAUAAAUUGCACUCUAACACCCCCCAUACUUCAAGUUAGUGUCUCGGGAUGGCAAAUAUUUAAUUAUGGAUGGAUAAUAUCCAUUCAAAAAUAAAUCUAUAAUUAUUCAUAAUAGAUAUAUUCAUAUUCAUAUUCAGUAUUUAAUAUUGGACAUUGAUAUAGAUUUUAUCCAUAAAACUAUGGAGAUCCAUGGAUAUUUUAUUUUUAUUAUAUAAAAAUAAUAAUAUAAAAUAGUUAAAAUUCCAAUAUUAAAUUUGGUUAUUAAUGCCAAGGCGGAUGUACGGUACAGCAGUAAAAUAAUAAUUAUUAAUAGUAUUAAAUAAGUUAAAAAAUUAAAGGAUAAUUUUGAAAACUUUAGUUUUUAAUAUAAGAGGAAUUUAAAAUUUUCACUAGUUAAUAUAAUAUUUUUACAAUUGUUUGUUUAUUAUAUUUUUUAUUUUUAAUUUUAUAAAAUUAAAAUUUUUUAAACUUGUGUUGGGUUAAACGGAUAUUCAUUGGGUAAAAAUAAUUAUUCAUAUCCAUCUGAAUAUAAUUUUAAAAUAUCCAUUUCAAAAUCCAAAAUUUUUUGAAUAGAUAUUAUCCGAUCCAAUUAGAUGGAUAUUGUGAAUAUCUAUUAUGGAGCGGUCCAGUUGCCAUCCCUAGACUCUCGCUAAUCAUUUUAGAUGUAUCAAUUACAAAGGGAGGCCAUCUUUUUUUAUAGUAAGCGUACGCCUCUAAUGCUUUGCCAAGUGUCCAUUGAUAAUAUCACAAGGGAAAUUAAAUUGGUGUAUGUGUAUUACACCUCCUAAAGUCAUGUUAAGUUAGUUAGUGAGCUGAUAAAGUUUGUUGCACGUGUGAGUUGGUUAAGUAUGCUAGAAUUGCAAACGUGUAAAGCUGAGUCAGCAAGUUAGUUAAGGUUAUUAUGAAUGCUUAGAUUCAGCUCACGUGUAUUGUAUGUAAUACUUAGAUUCAGGUCAUGUAGAUUGUGUAUACAACUUUCUAAUAUUAUUUAGAUCUCAAUAUAAAUACUUGUAAUCAACAAAUACAAUAAUAAGAGUCAUCAUUCUUCAUUUUCUCUCAUAUUUUCUCUGCAUCCAAACACAAUAUUCUCAGUUCUUGACUUGGUAUCAGAUUUGCAGUUUAAUUGUCAUGGCUUCCUUAAGCACAAAUUUAAAACAAAUCAGUCUCCUUCAUCCUUUACCUUCACAAAUCCGAUCAAACUGGACAGAUCUAACUAUACGAUCUGGAAAUCUCAGAUCCUCUCUUCAGUGCGUGCCAAUGGACUUGAAGAUUUUCUUAAUGGAACUAAAAUUUGUCCAGAUCAGUUACUUACUCAAGAGAUUGAAAGUUAUGGUGUUGAAAAUGCUGUUGGUGAAAGCUCAGCUGAUAGAUCUCAAGAGAAUCCAGCCUUUGUUGCUUGGAAAAGGUAGGAUCAAUUGUUAUUAAGUUGGCUCAUGUCCUCCAUCAGUGUUGAGAUACUUAGUCUUGUGGUAAAUUCUGAUUCUUCUCAUAAACUUUGGACUAAUCUUGAAGAAAAAUUUUGGAUUAGAAACUAUGGCUAAGAAAGCACACUUAAAAAUGAUGUUAAGCAAUCCCAGAAAGGGAUCAAUGACAAUAACUGAGUAUUUUACCAAACUUAGAGCUGUGACUAAUAAACUUGCUCUAACUAGUAGCCCUGUUUCUACUCUAGACUUUAUUACUCAUCUAAUCUCUAGAUUAGGCCAGCCAUACUACCCUGUUGUUUUGUAUAUUGAAGCUAAUAUGAUGAAAAUAUUUGUCAAUGAAGCCUAUUCUAUGCUUUCAACUCAUGAAGCAAGAAUUAAAUUUAAUCAUCCGAGUGCAAAUAAAGAAGCAAAGUUGAAUUAUGCUGCUAACAUAGCUUAGGCUGGACCUAGUAAUAACAAUAAGAAGUCUAGUAAUCAAGCUAAUUACUAUCAGGGCAACCAAGGUAACUGGAAAAGAAAUGCUCAUUGGUGUGGUAACAAUAGAGGAAGAGGUGGCUUUGGCAGAGGUUUUUCAGGGCAAGGAAGGGGUAAUUAGAAUAAUGGUGGUCAUUGGAACAAUGGACCUUGGAGUAGUAGUCGAGCAUGUUAUAAUUGUUCUGAUAUAAACAUUAUGACAUGGUUGCUGGUGAACCUGUAAACAUAACCACAAAAGUAAGAAGGCAUAAUCUUUUUAUAAGAAACUCAAAAAUGUAUUAAUGAUGAAAAUUUUAAAACAGAUAAUGGACCAGCUGUUCAUUAAGAAAACAAAAAACUGAAUAUUUGUGCCAUAAAAAGGCACACCCAAUCUCACCCCUAUAAAAGGCUAGAAUCAGCUACAAAUCCCUAUCUCAAAACCCCAUCCUAGUUCAGAUGAAUGAAGAAAAAAGAUGAAUCUUGAAACUCCUUAGAAACUGAAGCCCAAAGUGAAGCAAGAAGAUGAACUCUAUCCCAAGCAAGCAAUAUGGCAUAUUUCUCCAUUAAUGGUUCAAAUAAAGUGAAUGGCUUUCUCUGAUGAAUGGGAAAUUGUCAAGAUCAAUAGUCAAACUCACGCAAAGUUAACGGACUUAAUUCUCAGAGGCUACUCAUUCUAAGUCUUAAAGAAAAAUUUUCUAAUUUCUAAAGAUUAUAUGGGGAAAAAUCAUUAUUUUCUAACAUGGAAAAUUUGAUACGGUGUUUAAUGUCUUAUCACAAUCAUAAUAUGAGUACUAACAAAAACAUCUUUAAUCGGCAUGGUGCGAGUAAAACACCAUCACUUCAUCUUUGAUGGAAAGAUGAUAAUAUAAGGAAAUGGUGAAAUGGUUUUGGUCCCUGACAGCUUGUAAUCAAAAGAAAACAAAAAACUACACUAUUUUAAUGAUUACCGAAGCUACAGAAGUAUCAAAAUCGGAAAGCAAACAAUUGCAAAACACAUCAAUGACUGAAGGUUAGGUUCUAAAACUUCCGUAUUUAAUUUUCAGAGCAUGUUAUGUAUUAUUCAGAAAUAUGCUUUCACUUCAGGCACUUGACCAAGACACAUUAAACAUAAAACGCGGCGUUUUCAUGGACUAGUACAUUCCAUGCUUCGAAAGUUUAUGUUUUAGACUGAUUGGUUUGAUACAUUAUUUGUUUAUUGCGUUUUUCUUGCUUUAAAUAUUAUGUUGGAUUGAUAAGUUUUGUACACAUUUAUAUUGCUCGCAGUAAAUAAUUUAUGACAUUUAAAAAACUAUCAGCCGUCUAUCAAAAGAUUUCUACUAUAAAUAUAUAUACACAAAAAACUUUUAAUUUGGUCAAUUUUUUCUCUUAUUUAUUUUUGUUCUAUUUCUCUUUUCCUUCCCUUUCAUUUUAUUGUUUUAUGGUACAAAAUAAAAAAAUAACCUUAAAAUUUAAGGGUAAAAUACUCAUUUUACUAAAAUUCCGUUUAAUAUUAUAAAACUGUCAAAUGUCAAUGGCAUAGUACACGAGUGAUACAAAUUAAAAACAAUAAAUUAAAAGUUUUUAUGCAUUUUCGUUUUAUUUUUUUUAUAGCCGAUACAAAUUAAAAACAAUAGGUUUAGACCGUUUAACAAAUCUUAAAUUAAAAAAACCCGUGGUGUAAUAACAAACUCACAUCAAACCCUGUCCACUGUCAUCCCUAAUUAUAUUUACCACUUCAUACUCACAGUGAUAAUUAUAUUACCGUUAUGAAUGAAGCAGAAGAGUUUCCCCAAACAAGCUAAAACACCGCACUUCAAUUUAAAGAAUUUUUAUAUCACAGUACCGGGACAAAAAGUUUAAUGCAACUUGUUCAAGCUGUCAAUCGGCAGAAAAGCAAGCGAAUCACACCCAAUAAACUCCCUGAUUUCCUCAACGCUCAUCCUGUUGGAAAUCAACUCCUCAGUACUUGGAGUGUCUACUCCGUAGUAACAAGAAGCUAUGAUCGGUGGGCUUGCAAUUCUCAUGUGAACCUCUUUAGCUCCAGCCUCCUUAAGCAACCUAACAAUUUUUGAUGAAGUUGUUUCUCACACUAUCGAAUCAUCCACAACCACAACUCUCUUUCCCACCAACCACAACCUUACAGGAGAGAGCUUAAGCUUGACACCAAAGUCCCUAAUUUUCUGGGAAGGCUCAAUGAAAGUUCUCCCAACAUAAUGUGACCUUAUCAACCCUUGUUGAAAUGGCACCCCGGCUUUCGCAGUGUACCCAAGUGCAGCCACCACUCCAG